AGAGUUUGAUCCUGGCUCAGAUUGAACGCUGGCGGCAGGCCUAACACAUGCAAGUCGAGCGGAUGAGUGGAGCUUGCUCCAUGAUUCAGCGGCGGACGGGUGAGUAAUGCCUAGGAAUCUGCCUGGUAGUGGGGGACAACGUUUCGAAAGGAACGCUAAUACCGCAUACGUCCUACGGGAGAAAGCAGGGGACCUUCGGGCCUUGCGCUAUCAGAUGAGCCUAGGUCGGAUUAGCUAGUAGGUGAGGUAAUGGCUCACCUAGGCGACGAUCCGUAACUGGUCUGAGAGGAUGAUCAGUCACACUGGAACUGAGACACGGUCCAGACUCCUACGGGAGGCAGCAGUGGGGAAUAUUGGACAAUGGGCGAAAGCCUGAUCCAGCCAUGCCGCGUGUGUGAAGAAGGUCUUCCGAUUGUAAAGCACUUUA
rnacentral:rRNA from 1 species